UUAAUUAUUUGACCUUGAUGUGGCAUAGCUGCUUAUUCAGAGAAUUAUGAAGUGAGCGGCAAAUCCUUUUUUCUCAAUCCUUCGCCAUUUGUGUAACAGCCUAUUGUUCAAUAUGGAAACCAAAUUAAUUCUCAAUCAAUUGAUAUUCUUCUCCAAAAUUAUGAAUACCAUUCAAACGCCAAUUCAUUGACGCUUCCUUUUCUUGGUAUGUUAUUCAUCCGAUCUGAGUCAUGGUUUCUUUCAAUCGGCGUUUCAGGCUUACAAUCGCCGGCCGUUUCUUUCAAUCGAUGUUUCAAACUCUUUGAUCGUGCCGUUUACAGUUGAUUUCAACAGGAUGGUGCUAGAGUUCUUAACGUUUUAGCCAUGUUUAGGGCCAUGAGUAUGUUCUAGCCAUGGCUUUUUCCAUAGUCUUAUUUUAUGAAGGUAUACCUUGCAUCUCUCUGGCUUCAAUUUAUCCACCUUUCCUUCUGCUCCGAGUUGUCCAGCGAUCUUGCACAUCUGUAAGUAUCAAGUUGUGCUUAGGUAAUUUCAUUUGAGAUUUGGGGGUUUGGGUUAUUGCGUUUGGAUUGAGGUCUGAUUGGGAUAUUCAAUCGCUAAUCACCCUAACACAAUCCAUGGUAUUUCAUCUCAUCUUCUUGCCCUAUUUGACACAAAUUUUACAGUGAAUCUGUAAACAGUGAAUGUAGGAGCUUUCGUUGCACAAUUCAGGUUUGGGAGGUUGCCUUGCACAGGUUUAUAUCUCCAAUUGUAUCUUGAUAUGCUGAAUGCUUGAUAUCCUGAAUGCUUUUUUCAUAUGUCUGAUGUGCAAAUAGCAUCUUGAAAAUUGAUUAAAAGAAGGUAUUUAUGUCUAAUUUAUUACCUCACUAAGGAUAAUUCAUAUAAUUUAAAUUCUUCAAGGCUCUUGUAAUAAACACCAAGAUUUUGUUAAUGUGUUCAUAGCAUUUGUAUCUAAAAUUAAAUAAUUACUGAUGAACUAUAACUAAUCAUAGUUUUGAUGAAGCUCCAGAUAAAGCAUUCUUAACCAACUCCAUUCAGACCUUUCUCAAUAUCUUUCUUGACUGAGUCUUGAUAAUUGCAUUAAUAUAACCUUUUAAAUCGUUUUGUAUGGUGAUACAUGCGAAAAUCAAUCCACACACUAACAAACUUAUUUAGACAAACAAUGUGUAAAUAAUCGAGACCUUAUGAUUGCUUUAAGUGCUUAAUUGUGGAAUAUUUAUGGCUUUCUAUUGGGUUGCAUAUUUUUUUUAUUAAUGAUAUCAUUUCUACGAGUUGUGGACUACAUCUUUUUUUUAAUCAUAAAAUUAUAAAUAAAGGCAAUGAUACCCUGCUACAAAACAUUAUAUGGUUUUAAUAUCUUACUUUGAUUUUAAUCUUUCAAUUAUCACCCUUGGUGAUUAAUAUACUGUUUGGUUUAAAAUUUUAAUCUUUUUAUCUUGCAAUGAACAUUCUGGACCAAUAGUUAACCAUGACGAUGCUGGUGUACAGUGGCAAAAACAGUUGUAUUCAUGGCUAAUAGUUCUCACCUGGCCUCUUAAUUUUUUUAUCCGAAUGGAGUACUCUUUUAACAAUUUUUGGGUGACUGGUACCAAUCCAUUUAGGUUGUAUAGCACAUGUAAAGAGCUUUCUUUAGUUCAGCUUUAAGUCUACUCUUUUGAUGGUAUUUCUAUAAUUUGUUGAAGUUGUGUAAAGAACGAUUAAAUCCAACCCAUAGCGGCUCUCUUAAAACAAUUAAAGAAGCAGGACUACACAUCUGCACCACUUCUUUCAAUCAACCCCAGCCCCAGGUUGAUAAGCUGAAGGAUUUGUUUUUGAAACAACAGGAAGAGAUAAAGGCGUUAAAGAAUGCAAUUAUGUUCCUAGAUGUUAUGAUCCGAGCGAAGUGGGAGGUUGAUUCUCAAGUAACAUAAAAUAGGCCAAACAAAUCAUCCUUAAUCUACAAAGGCAGGUGAAAGCUGCCAAAUAUUAGAGAUGAUUCGUGUUAGAAUGACUUGAAAACGGGUUGGGCCACUUUAUGGGGUUUGCUAUAACAAAGGAGGUACAAGAGAAAGUUGUGAACUUUCCAUGUCAUCGAAAAAUUGCGGAUCUGAAACAUGGUAGUGUUGUCAUGGAAACUCGGGUCUAACAUGCACCAUUGGUGAUGGAACAGCCCUCAGGUGGGUGGUAACUGAACCCCUACUUCUACAAAUAUUUCAACACUGGUGCUCUUGAAGGAUGCAAGCUCAUUAGGAAAGACAAGAUAAUUUUGGUCAUCAUACGGGUUUGGGAUUAUUUUGAUCUGCAUAUUUUUGCUCUUGCUAUUUUGACUAUUAAUGGAAAGCAUAUAUAUGAUUUGCCAAAGAUGAUUUAUGAAUAGGUUAAAUUUUUUAAACAUCAAACUCACACACCCACCACAAACUCUUUAACAUUUCUUAAUAACCCAAUGUUAUUGUUUUCAUUGUGUUGUGUACUUGAAAGUCUACUGUUGCAUUUUCAAGAAUUUAAACUAAUUUGGCCUUUUCACUUUCAUAUAUGUGACUAUGAUACCAACUCUAAAGUAUAGCUUGGCCUAAUGUACACAUUUUUGCAGGUAAUAUUUGCAUAUUUUAAAUAGAUUUUGCAAACUACUAUAUGAUAUGUCCUCUUUCAUGGCGAAUUAAACCAAAAAGAUAUGAUGCUCCAAAUUUUAGAAGCACACUUUCCAAAUUCUUUUUCUUUAUCUGCAUAGUGCAUUAGUAUUCAAUCAUGGAGGUAUGAUAUGAUCUCUAAUGCUUCGAUCACCAUUCAUUUAAACAAAUAUUAGAUUUUGCAGCAUCAUAUCUUUUAGGCUUAAUUAUGCUCAAUCAUCAUAUCUUUUUUAAUAUUCUGCUCAAGGGGAAAACAAAUGUUGGUGGCUAUAAUUUAGAAAUUUACCAGCUACGCUUGAGUAAUAUUAAGUACAAUCAUAUCGUUUGAUUCAUUAUCUUUAUAGUUGGAAGAAGCCAACCAUCAUCUAAUAGCUUUGGAAGAAGUUUUUGCAAAGAUCAUGUUCUUACAAAAUCCCCUGUUAAGAAACUAAGUCAUGAUCUUGUUGGAUUAAAAAUUGCCUCAAAUAUUUCUUUACUCUAUGAAAUAUAAAAAUUUAUUAUAUACAAGGAAACUGGAAAAGACUACGAAUUAUUAGCUUAUGGAUUUUGUUUAUGAUUGGUUUGUUCCUUUAAAAAUACUUUCAAUACAAACAGAGAGUUGCAUUUGAAGUUAGACGCACUGUUCUCUUAACACUAACGAGUGCUACUGAAAUUCUCAAACUCAAGAUGGACAUCAUAUCAUUGCCAGUGUGGAGGAACACUAUAGGGUGGAUGAUGUCCACCAAUUUGUCUUAUUUUAUACCGUUUGAUGACAACAUCAACUUUCCAAGGUUCAUUUUUUCCAUUUUACUCCUUUUUAACCAUAUAAUGUCAUGGCUCAAAAUCAUUUUGGAUCGAAACUUGCCAUUUUCAGUAGGGUUGAAACGGGCCAAGCCAAGAUGACAGCAUAAACCUGUUGUCCUUUCUUUUUUUAAAAAUUAUAAAUAUUUCAUGUUGCAAGUAUAAUCAUAAAAACAACAUUAUUAGUGGUAAUAUCUAACUUUGCAUUUAGUUCAUGUGUAAUUUGUAUAUUUGCAUAGCGAGAAGUUAAAAACUCAUAACUGAGGGACCUUAAGGUCGUUCCUGUAUAAAAUAACUCUACCGGGAAACAUAAAAAUGAAAAAAAAAAUAUCUUGGAAAAGAACCCAUAGGCAUACGAGUUGUGCAAGAUGUGCAUAAGGAGCUUCCAUAUGUGCAGCCAGCAUAUGUCACUAAACAGGCUAAAUGAUCAAUGUUUACGACCCACAUGAUUCACCUCAUUCAAAGGGUUGUAAACAUGUUUUUUUAGAUUAGAUUUGUAUUUUAUUUACUGGAAACUGAGUUUGUUAUGGCUAUUUUGUAGACCAAGGAUUGAUUUGCAGAGGGUAAGGACCUGGUGGUGAGUAUGAUGACAUCAAUGUGGGAGGAGUAGAUUUGUGCUCUUAAGGAUAUUGGUCUCAGAUAAGCUCUUCUACCCCCACCAUCAACGACAGUAGCAAGAAAAGCUUUUUUAUUGUAUUUAUGUUUGUACAUCUUAAGGUUUUACUUCCUUUUAGUGUACUUCGACUUUCUUUUAUUGGAAACUUGCAGCAACUAUAAUAUUGGUUUAGGGUUGCAAUUAUGAUAAUGGUGUCUUUGUGGUUGUGCUUUUAAAUUCUUACCUUUUUAAGGUUAUUGAAAUACAAGGGUGUUUGUUUA